rnacentral:rRNA from 1 species
ACUGCUCAGUAACACGUGGACAACCUGCCCUUAGGUUGGGUAUAAACCCGGGAAACUGGGUAUAAUACCCGAUAGGUCUCGAUUGCUGGAAUGCAUCGAGAUUUAAAGCUCCGGCGCCUAAGGAUGGGUCUGCGGCCUAUCAGGUAGUAGUGGGUGUAGCGUACCUACUAGCCUACGACGGGUACGGGUUGUGAGAGCAAGAGCCCGGAGAUGGAUUCUGAGACACGAAUCCAGGCCCUACGGGGUGCAGCAGGCGCGAAAACUUUACAAUGCUGGCAACAGCGAUAAGGGAACCUCGAGUGCCAGGUUACAAAUCUGGCUGUCGAGAUGCCUAAAAAGCAUUUCAUAGCAAGGGCCGGGCAAGACCGGUGCCAGCCGCCGCGGUAACACCGGCGGCUCGAGUGGUAACCGUUAUUAUUGGGUCUAAAGGGUCUGUAGCCGGCCGGAUAAGUCUCUUGAGAAAUCUGGCAGCUUAACUGUCAGGCUUUCAGGAGAUACUGUCUGGCUCGAGGCCGGGAGAGGUGAAAGGUACUUCAGGGGUAGGGGUGAAAUCUUGUAAUCCUUGAAGGACCACCAGUGGCGAAGGCGUCUCACCAGAACGGACCUGACGGCAAGGGACGAAAGCUAGGGGCACGAACCGGAUUAGAUACCCGGGUAGUCCUAGCCGUAAACGAUACUCGCUAGGUGUCGGCCACGGUGCGACCGUUGUCGGUGCCGUAGGGAAGCCGUGAAGCGAGCCACCUGGGAAGUACGGCCGCAAGGCUGAAACUUAAAGGAAUUGGCGGGGGAGCAC